CAGUAGGUGUGUCCAAACUUUUGACUGGUACGGUACAUUAGCGUGUGUUGUAUCAAGUUUUAAGACCGACAAGUCACACCUUUUUUUCGGACUGUAAAGUUCAAUCAGAAGACCGAUAGUUUUCAUCUUGCUGAUCGCAAUUUAUUUUGGGGCCGAUCAAUUCCUCAGUUGGCUGUAAGAAGAUCCUUCAUCUCCUCUUGAUUUGGUGACCUGUCCUAUCAUGGCUGAAAAGCUAGCGUCCUUCGGUAAGAUGCUGCUCCGGCGACGGGCGCUGGACUGUAACCAGGAAGAGAGCCACUUUGCCCGCUGCCUGACCACGCUGGACCUUAUUGCCCUGGGGGUGGGUGCCACUCUGGGGGCCGGCGUCUAUGUGCUGGCUGGAGAGGUGGCCAGGGAGAAGGCCGGCCCAGCCAUCGUGCUCUGCUUCCUCAUCGCAGCGCUCUCCUCCGUCCUUGCUGGUCUGUGUUAUGCUGAGUUUGGUGCUCGUGUGCCCAAGACUGGUUCAGCCUACAUGUACAGCUAUGUGACUGUGGGGGAAAUCUGGGCCUUCAUCACUGGCUGGAACCUCAUCCUCUCCUAUGUCAUAGGCACAGCCAGUGUUGCUCGGGCCUGGAGCUCCACCUUUGACAACCUGGUUGAACAGAAGAUCUCAGACUUCUUCAGAGCCUCCAUGUCCAUCAAGGUCCCUGGGAAGAUUCUUGCUGAAUACCCAGACCUCUUCGCCUUCAUCCUGAUCUUGCUGCUCACUGGCCUGCUGGCGUUUGGCGUGAGUGAGUCGGCCCUGGUGAACAAGAUCUUCACGGGGGUCAACCUGGUGGUGCUGGGCUUCGUCAUCAUCUCAGGCCUGGUGAAGGGAGACCGUACCAACUGGAACCUCACUGUGGAGGACUUUGUCAACACAACCAACAUCACUGAUCCAGAGAUAAUUAAAGAGAAGUUUGGCACCGGGGGUUUUGCUCCAUUUGGCUUCAGUGGAGUCCUGUCUGGGGCAGCAACCUGCUUCUAUGCCUUUGUGGGGUUCGACUGCAUCGCAACAACAAGUGAAGAGGCCAAGAACCCUAUGCGUUCUAUCCCCAUCGGUAUCGUGGCUUCUCUGCUCAUCUGUUUCUUUGCCUACUUCGGGGUGUCUGCGGCUCUCACCCUUAUGAUGCCCUACUACCUGCUGAACAGAGAGAGCCCACUGCCAGAGGCCUUCAGUUAUGUGCACUGGGACCCUGCCCGCUACAUCGUGGCUGUGGGCUCCCUCUGUGCCCUCUCCACCAGUUUACUGGGCUCAAUGUUCCCCAUGCCCCGUGUAAUCUAUGCCAUGGCUGAGGACGGCCUGCUCUUCCGCUUCCUCUCAAAGAUGAACAUAAAAACCAAGACGCCCCUGUUAGCCACCAUCGUGUCGGGUAUUGUAGCAGCCCUGAUGGCAUUCCUGUUUGAUCUGGCAGCCCUGGUAGACCUGAUGUCGAUAGGAACUCUCCUGGCAUACACACUAGUGGCAGUGUGUGUGCUUAUCCUCAGGUACCAGCCGGGUACCCUGGGCCUCAGCGGUGCCAGUGAGAAGCUGGUGGAGCUGGUGGGUCUGCGGAGGGCAACCAUGGGGGAGGGGGACAGUGGAGACGAGUUUGACCAGGAGGGUGAGGGGGAGACCAGGCCCCUCAGGGAGAGGUUCACCCUCAAGAUGCUGCUGGUGCCCAGCUGUGACGUCCCCACCAAGACCUCCGGACUUAUCGUGUACAUCACUACCGCUGUCAUCUCUGUGGUAUUCACCCUGCUGUGCGUAGUGCUGGCUGUGUGGGGGGCAGAGGUGGUGAGUGGCCACCCCCUGUGGGUCACCAUAUGUGCCAUACUGGCCUUCUUCGCCUUCCUGUGUGUGGCCAUCAUCUGGAGACAGCCCCCGAGCAGACAGGCACUCACCUUUAAAGUACCCCUGCUCCCAGUGCUGCCAUUGGUCAGUAUCUUUGUCAACAUUUACCUCAUGAUGCAGCUGGAUGGGCCAACAUGGUGUCGCUUUGCAGUGUGGAUGACUAUUGGUUUUCUCAUCUACUUUGGUUAUGGGAUUAAGAACAGCUCAGAGGCCUCACCCAACCGUGGUAAAUUUGAGACAGUCCUCCGAUCAAAGAGUCCCAUCUACCUGGCAGAGGAUGACAGUGAGGUGGAAGGGAUGACACCUUAGAGGAGAAUAGUGGUGGAGUAGAUGGUGUACGCCCCAACAACAUAACACGCAAGACGAACAGGACAAUGACCCAAAACACACCUCCAUGCUGUGUAAGGGCUAUUUGACCAAGAAGGAGAGUGAUGGAGUGCUGCAUCAGAUGACCUGGCCUCCACAAUCACCCAAUCUAACCCAAUUGAGAUGGUUUGGGAUGAGUUAGACUGCAGUUGAAGGAAAAGCAACCAACAAGUGCUCAGCAUAUGUGGGAACUCCUUCAUGACUGUUGGAAAAGCAUUCCAGGUGAAGCUGGUUGAGAGUGUGCAAAGCUGUCCUCAAGGCAAAGGCUGGCUACUUUGAAAAAUCUCAAAUAUAUAAAAACUAUUUUGAUUUAACACUUUUUUUGGCUACAUGAUUCCAUGUGUUAUUUCAUAGUUUUGAUACCUUCACUAUUAUUCUACAAAGUAAAAAAAUAAAGAACCUUGAAUGAGUAGGUGUGUAUUCACUUUUGACUGGUACUGUAUGUGCACUGAGAUAUACACUGAUUGUACAAAACAUUAAGAACACCUGUGAUUUCCAUGACAGUCUGACCUGGUGAAAGCUACAGUCCCUUAUUGAUGUCACUUGUUAAAUACACUGCAAUCAGUGUAGAUGAAGGGGAGGAUACAGGUUAAAGAAGGAUUCUUAAGCAUUGAGACAUUGUCUGUGUGCCAUUCAGAGGGUGGACAAGACAAGAUUUAUGUGCCUUUUGAACAGGUUAUGGUAGUAGGUAAGAGGCACACUGCUGGGUUUUUCAUGCUCAACAGGUUUCUAUGUGUAACAAAAAUGAUCCACCACCCAAAGAACACCUAGCCAACUUGAAACAACUGUGGGAAGCAUUAGAGUCAACAUGGGCCAGCAUCCAUGUGGAACUCUUUCGACACCUUGUAGAGUCCAUGCCCUGACGCCAAAAGGGAGGGGUGCGUGCAACUUAAUAUUAGGAAGGUGUUCUUAACGUUUUGUAUACUCGAUCAACAUGAACUUGCCAAAUUUCUGCAUAUCUAACCAUUUUGAAAAGGUUUUUUGUAUUAAAUAUGUCAUUUAGGUGGUACAAAUGGCAUGACACAGAGUUCCUCCAUUUUUAAUGUGUUAUUCUAGUGCCUGGUUGUUUCUGCCUGAAUUCAGCCAUUUUCCCCAAAAUGGUGUCUGAUAUCCACUGUCUUUGCCUGUGAGUUACUGCUGGGUACAGUAAGCACACCAACAGGGUAUGUUGUGUGUCCUCCUGUCCAUAUAGGUAAAUUACUAUGGUAUUAUUUGUGUUCUUUGGGGACAGGCAAUACCAAGGAGUGGGUCAAACAAACCCAGAACUCACUGUCUGCACUUUAGAGAGAUGCUUGACAAUGAAAUUAAAUUUUGUAAAACUUGGUCCUUACCCAAAAGAUGGUAAUAUUUCUAAUUGUUUAAGAAUUUAUCAUUUAGAAUAGAGAAUAUUUUUUUAAACAAUCAUUAGUUGAAUUUUGUUUUCAUAUUUAUACAUAGAUAUGUAUGCUAUAUUUGUUAAUUAUUGGAAGAGCUGCCCAAAUAAUUAUUCAAUUUAAAAUGAUGCUCUUAACUGUAGAGAGAAAUAACUUAUUUUUGUACCAUGAUGAUCGACAAACUCUACCAAAUAGAGAGAUGUCUAUAGGAAGGUACACUGAAGAAAAAUGCUGAUAUUCCUUGGAGCCCAAAACUGGCACUACUGAAAGGCAGAGAAAGGAUUACAAUACAUUAGCCUAGUAUGAAAGGGCUUACAGGUUUCAUUCCUGUUUUAAGGUCUUAAUCUCGUGGUACAUGUUACUUACAUGAUUGAUUCCAUGUAUAAUUUUGUACAUAACUGUUUUGUAUAUAAUUGUGUCAUUGAUAGAUGGGCCUGGGUUUUAAUCUCUUAACUCUGAGUGUCUAACUGAAUGUAUUAAUAACAUUAACUGAAAACCCCACCAGCCUCAGUCCAAUUUUGUUUCUAGACACUUUGCUGUGGUGUUCAAAUCAACUUGUUUUUUUCUGUUUUAACUGUGUGCCUCAAUUUAUUUGCUCACUUCAAGGGUAUGUAAGUAACUGUUAUUUGUAUUCUAUGCCUAUUUACGAGAUGUGGAAAUGGUCACAUCACAGAUAAUCAAUUCAAAUUGGUAUCCCUUCAGAUUAUUGCGAUUUAAAUGACCAUUUUAAGAUCAAGACUGGCCAGUCUUGUGUAAAAAUGGCCUAGAAAACACACUACAAAUAGCUGUGAGAAAGUCUACAAUAUGGUAUUUUUGUAUUUUAUUUUAUGCUUCCAGGGGGCUCAAAGCUUGAUACAGAAUCAUGUUGCAAAGAAAAGUCUUGCACAUUACGUCAGUGUCUCAUACAAGGUUUUGUGGAGUGAGUUACAAUACUAGGAUGUUUACAAACUACCUUGGUCAUCAGAACAGUAUUUGAGAAAAUAACAAUUGUUUUGUACUAACCUUUUCAUGUCCAUUUGUACUCUUACUGAUUUUAAAGCAUAGUAUAACUGUACUAUCUGUAAAUGUGUGAAGAGAAAUUACUGUAUAUAAUCAAUGUUUUUUUUUUGUUAAGUAAAUUUGAAUCCUCCAAUGAAAA